ACAGCAGCCGCCGCGGUAAUACGUAGGGUGCGAGCGUUAAUCGGAAUUACUGGGCGUAAAGCGUGCGCAGGCGGUUGUAUAAGACAGAUGUGAAAUCCCCGGGCUCAACCUGGGACCUGCAUUUGUGACUGUAUAGCUAGAGUACGGUAGAGGGGGAUGGAAUUCCGCGUGUAGCAGUGAAAUGCGUAGAUAUGCGGAGGAAAACCGAUGGCGAAGGCAAUCCCCUGGACCUGUACUGACGCUCAUGCACGAAAGCGUGGGUAGCAAACAGGAUUAGAUACCCCCGUAGUCCCUGUCUCUUAUAC
rnacentral:rRNA from 1 species